rnacentral:lncRNA from 1 species
AUAAACAUAUUUUACUCUAAUUGAGGCCCUAGACGCAACAAAUAAGGAAACAGAAACCUCAACAUGAAAUCCUAAUGACCCGUAUUAGCUAGCGCUGCCACUCAAACUGAAACUUNUAUGAUAGGAAAUGAAAGGUUAAUGGUGACACAAUGGAGAUUGCAGAGGGUUUGGCAUGGCAGUUUUAGUUGGGCUUCAGUGCUAAAACACCAGAGAAACAUGGUUGUGGCAGAUCCCUCAGAAUUGGACCACAACUUGCAGCACCUCUAGAACAAGCCCUAGAAUUGGACAAUCCACAUUUGCAUAUAAUUCUGGAUAUUCACGUGUGAAUCCUUCAAUUCAACCUUAUUUGGGUUAAAAAAAUAUUAACUGCGCGACUUGCUUGAGUUUUGAAUCAUANUGUAUAUAGUAUCCCACAAUACUAACUAUAAUUCAAAAAUUCAAAUAAACACUGUUUGUAUAUAGGGGAUAACCCAAGACCAUAUAAACCCCACAUCAGAACCAUAUACUACUAGUNUAGGUUUCUAGUCACAUAACUUAUAUCGAAACAAAUAAAAGUUAAAAUUUUCAACAAUCAUUAAUGUAUUAUUACUCACUUUAGAUUCAAUUAUAAUAAUUUUCCACCUAAAUAGCCGAUAGAAAUUACUCUUUUAAAUUUUGAUGUGUUUAGUUUGAUUGGUAAGACUACUGCUCAGGGGGAGACAUUAGGAUACCAUGAAAAAUGACUAAAAUAUAUUUAAAUACAGUCAUUGGAUAUUUCUCGCCUUGACAAAUUAGGGGUGGAAACAAGUCGGGUCAGGCUAGGAUUUGAUGGCCCCAUCUUGGCCUAUGCUAUAAUUACUUAGCCUGCGCCUUACCUAUUCACUUAUUACAGGCUAUUUUUUUAAGUCUUGGUCUAACCUGCUUAAAGUUUGUCCUGACCAGCUCUAUAAAAGGCAUGCAUACAUUCUUUAUCACCUAAAUUAUUUCAAUUUUUGUAAAGACUAAUAUUAACAUUAAAAAAUUAAACAAUAAGUGGGUGAAACGGAUAAAUUCCCGAGACAAUAAUUUUCCAGAAACAGAGUAAGAAAACUGAGAUCUUAUAACAGUGCAAUAUGUAAAGGUAUAUAAUCCUUUUAUAAUGAAUGAAAAGGAAGAAACAGAGAAUGUAAUGUUCAACACAAUUUUCGUAAAUAUUGAUUCUACUGUAAGCGCUGACACAACUCCACGGGUAUCUUCUGGAAUAUUGUAACCUGAUAGAAGAAGAGAUCUUUUCAGAAUAAGAAUGGACAAAGGAACAUUUUAGAGAGAGAGAAAGAGAGAGCAUAACAGAAUUUGUCAGAGAGAAAAUUACCACACGCAUGAAUGAUCUCAGAGCACAUAAUCUUUUAGAAAUACAUUAUUUCUUUUACACCUCAUGCUUUUCCUUUGGCCUUCUCUUUGCUCAUUGCUUGCCAUGUCUAACAAACUUUUCUCCCCUAUCCAACUCAGUGUUUUGUAUUUCAUUUUUUUUACACGUUACAGUGGGACGUGGUCCUCUACAAAAACUAAAUAAUUAAAAUUUAUUANGAGAUCAUUGCCACCAAAUAAUAUCUAAAGAUUCACAAGCACUAUUAAUUAGAAAUAGAAAUAUAAACAGACAUUGCCCAUCAAUGAGGUAACCAAACUAUUCAUAAUAAGUCAAUACUCAUCCACAGAAUACUAGAGAACACAUCCAUAAGGGACAGAAGUCCACAAAAUAAAUGGACUGGCCUAGUAGACUUUUUUAUGGCCUCUUUAAAUACGUUUUUCAAAAAGAUUUAGCCUGACCUUAGUAAACAAGACAGGUCAGGCCCUAUGCCUCCCUUGCAAUACAAUAGUUGCACACAAUCUCUUCUAAAAGCUUGGGCUGUUAGGUAGAGAUUACUCUUAUAUCCAAUAGAUGUUUUACAAGAAUAAAUAUAAUGGAGAGUUCAGAAAUAAUGAAAAUGAAUUUAAAAAGAAAUGUGUACCUUGAGAGAUGCAUGAUCAAAAUCUU